CCUUGAAAACUCGAUUUUAUUACCAAAUGAUAAUGUACUUACAGACAGAGAUGAUACAACUUGUUUGAGCCAACCAGUAACUGUUACUUUUAACAGAACCUAUGUUUUUACUUGGCUGAGACUCACAGUCAAAGAUCCAGCUGUGUUACCUGGAUUUACUAUAUAUUUUAGUAAAACUACAGCAACUAUAGGCCUACCUAAAAUAGAAUGUCUGAACCAGAAAUAUUUUCUUGUGGACAAUGCUACACUAGACAUACAAUGUGAUCUGACAGAAGCUAUUCAAACUGUUAUCAUCAAUGGAACAGGACAAACAUCGCUUUGUUCAUUGUAUAUAAACGGAGGUCGUAACGUUGUUCUGAAACAAAAGACUUGGCAAACAACUACUUACU